rnacentral:rRNA from 1 species
GACGAACGCUGGCGGCGUGCUUAACACAUGCAAGUCGAACGGAAAGGCCCUGCUUUUGUGGGGUGCUCGAGUGGCGAACGGGUGAGUAACACGUGAGUAACCUGCCCUUGACUUUGGGAUAACUUCAGGAAACUGGGGCUAAUACCGGAUAGGAGCUCCUGCUGCAUGGUGGGGGUUGGAAAGUUUCGGCGGUUGGGGAUGGACUCGCGGGUUAUCAGCUUGUUGGUGGGGUAGUGGCGUACCAAGGGUUUGACGGGUAGCCGGCCUGAGAGGGUGACCGGCCACAUUGGGACUGAGAGACGGCCCAGACUCCUACGUGAGGCAGCAGUGGGGAAUAUUGCACAAUGGGCGGAAGCCUGAUGCAGCAACGCCGCGUGCGGGAUGACGGCCUUCGGGUUGUAAACCGCUUUCGCCUGUGACGAAGCGUGAGUGACGGUAAUGGGUAAAGAAGCACCGGCUAACUACGUG